GAGCUUCAGCUGACCUGAUACCGUGCGUCGCUUGCUGUGAACAGACACCAUGGACGCAAAACGGAUGAUUGGAAUUUUGGUUGGAACAGCGGCGUACGUUGUGGUGUUUUAUGUGAGCGCUGUGGAUGGAGCAUGUCAGACGCCUUGUUGUUUGGGUUGCCAUGUCAACACCACGUGCUGAAUGACCCACACCUUCAAUGGACCACGCCUUCAGUAGACCACGGACAGAGACCGGACAACGGCAUUAUGAAAGAUGAUGACCUUGAUUUAUUUUUAUUUGUUUUAAAAUUAAAUUUACAACUUAAAAAAAAAAAUUAACCAGUCAUCAGAUAGGUCUGGAGUCACUGGAUGGAAGAAAGUAACGAUGUAGCCAUUGUGUAAUGAGUCAAUUGUGUGUUCCAAUGUACAUACUGUAUAAUAUAUACCUAUAUAUGUUUGCUUGCCUAUGUAAGAUAUAACAUUUUGACUGUGAAGGAGCAGCAUCAA